UCCUCAUACAGGCUUGCGUUAUUGCUAAUGUUCUUGGAUAUUACUGUAAUAACAUAAAAAUAUUCAUGUAGAUUCCUUGUAGAAGCAAUUAAUUAGUGAUUAACGAGGUGGCAAUGAGAUUUGUCUGUGGGUUAUUUAGCAUUUUCCUCACGACCAUACGAAUCAUUAAUCAUAAAUUGUACACAAAUAAAACAGCCAAUAAAUAAUAUUUAAAAUCAA